rnacentral:lncRNA from 1 species
GAUGCUGAAAUCACUGCACCUUAAAAACAAAAGGAUUAAGCUGCACUGCAUUCCUAACCCUUUCUUUCCCUUGCUGUUUGUAAUGGAUGGAAGCUGUCACAUCUCUCUAAGCCUCGAACUCCUGGCCUGAUACUCAGUUGUCCGUCUGUCUUCAGAAAGUGAAGGCUGUGUAUGGAAAACAGUUAAAGUUUGGCAUCCGGGAGGUUUUAUACAUGUUCAUGAAUCUUCACCCUAAAAAUCCCUGUGGCUAAAAUGGUGAAAUCUGAGGAACGGAAAGGAUGAAGGAGGUUCCUGCUGCUGCAUGAGUGAAGGAG